AACGAACGCUGGCGGCAUGCCUAACACAUGCAAGUCGAACGAGGGCUUCGGCCCUAGUGGCGCACGGGUGAGUAACGCGUGGGAACCUGCCCUGUGGUACGGAAUAACUCCGGGAAACUGGAGCUAAUACCGUAUGUGUCCUGCGGGACAAAGAUUUAUCGCCAUGGGAUGGGCCCGCGUAGGAUUAGCUUGUUGGUGGGGUAACGGCCUACCAAGGCAACGAUCCUUAGCUGGUCUGAGAGGAUGAUCAGCCACACUGGGACUGAGACACGGCCCAGACUCCUACGGGAGGCAGCAGUGGGGAAUAUUGGACAAUGGGCGCAAGCCUGAUCCAGCAAUGCCGCGUGAGUGAUGAAGGCCUUCGGGUUGUAAAGCUCUUUCGCACGCGACGAUGAUGACGGUAGCGUGAGAAGAAGCCCCGGCUAACUUCGUGCCAGCCGCCGCCGUAACAC
rnacentral:rRNA from 1 species